UGGAAGUUAGUUUAAUAAAAACAAAUGAUUUCGACUCAUUAAUUUCUCAACAUAAAGAGAACUUCUUU
rnacentral:tRNA from 1 species